CUAGCGACUUCAGAGUUUGAUCCUGGCUCAGGAUGAACGCUGGCGGCGUGCUUAACACAUGCAAGUCGAACGAAGCAUUUAAGAUGGAGUCUUCGGACAAAGCCUUUUAUGACUUAGUGGCGGACGGGUGAGUAACGCGUGGGUAACCUGCCUUAUGCAGGGGGACAACAGUUGGAAACGACUGCUAAUACCGCAUAAGCGCACAGUAUCGCAUGAUACAGUGUGAAAAGAUUUAUCAGCAUAAGAUGGACCCGCGUCUGAUUAGCUAGUUGGUGAGGUAACGGCUCACCAAGGCGACGAUCAGUAGCCGACUUGAGAGAGUGAUCGGCCACAUUGGGACUGAGACACGGCCCAA
rnacentral:rRNA from 1 species